rnacentral:rRNA from 1 species
AUCUACAGCCAUGCUACUUUGAAUAAGCCCGAUCCCAUCUGAUCUCGGAAGCUAAGCAGAGUCGGGCCUGGCUAGUACUUGGAUGGGAGACCACCUAGGAAGACCAGGCGCUGUAGGCG